ACUACAUACAUAUGUAUAUACACAUAAAAAGGUGUGGUUGUGUGUUCACAAUGGCUGGAAUAGGUUACCGUUGACGUUGGUUAGUAAGGAGUUAAGCAAACUUUAUUGCUUUCAACGUCCUUUAAAUGUCAAAAGUUCUUUUUUAUGCAAAAUCUGGUGACCAACACAUAACGCCAGCGCCAACGUCAACUUCAGCAUGCGUAGCUAAGGUUGGUGGCAUUUUAUUGCUGCAGUAAAGGGCUGGUUUUGACUUGUUAAUGACUCGAAGCUGUCUGCAGGCACGUUUUGAGUGUCUACCGCUGGGCGCUGCCUGAAACCUUCCUUUGUGCUUGGCAUUUUAAAUUUAACUUCAGCUGAAAUGGGGUGACAGACAAGCAAACAACAAAAUUCGUAAUGAAGCAUAACAGCUGAUGAAGAUGUAUUGUUUGUGUUGGAAACAUCAGACGUGAUCAUUAUCUAUUAAUGCAAUACGAGUCAUUCACAAUUUAAAAGCUCCUGGAAAUUGGCAACAAAGAAAACUCUUUCA